rnacentral:sRNA from 1 species
AAAGCACAAUGAGUAGUAUAUAGGGAUUGCACCUUAAUUGAGGAGAUUCCGGUUCGAAUCCGGGCUAUUGUGCUAGCAUCUAGGAAACUAGGUGCUUUUUGUU